AGCCGUCCAUUUCAUCCAAUGGAAGCCGACAUUGGCUUCUCUAUGUCUUGACCGUUCGUGGAAGUUAAGAGAGAGAAAACAUUUUUCCUUUUAGUUUCAGGGGAGAGAGAGAGAGCGAGAGAGUCCUUGCCAGACAGGUAUGUCUUUUUGCCUUCUUUUUUCUUUUUUCUUCUAAAAUUUACUGUCUUUUGUAAUUAAGCUUAUUUACUGAUUCUAUCUUCGUCUACUAUUUCCUUGAUUUCUGUUUUCCGCCUUCAUGUGUUUGUGCAUGUAACUGGUAGUCGAAGUUGUAUAACUGUCUUUUCAGCUGUUUUCCUGUUAGGGUUUAUGUGGUUCUGAGUGAGUGGUGAUUUUGGUUAUAUGGAUCUUAAUUGAGUCCCCGUUGCGUUGUGUUGUUCUGCUGUGGAGAUAAGGUAUGAUUAUCGAGUUUGACUGGAUUUCAGAACUUGGUUGACUUUGGUUGUUGGGUUUUAACUUCAAGGAUUUUGCUGUUCUGUGAUGUGGGUUUUCGUUUUCACGAGUUUUUAUGAAGUGGGUUCCUCUCUCCGCCUCUUGUUCCUUUAUGGUUAUUUUCUGUGACUAACUAUGUUCAAGUCGUUUCCUCCUGAAACGAAGCUCAGUCUUCAAAAUUAUGAUAGAUUGUGAUAUUCAUGAGAUGGUUCUCCUCUGGUUCUUGUUUAUUUUUUAUUUUACUUUGUAUUGGAACCUUGUUUCUUUAGGUCUAGUGCUUAUAAGAAGGAAAAUUUUGAGGUGGAUUCCUUGCAGUUUAUGAGUUUCAUCAUUUUGAGUUGGAUUCCUUGCCUUUUAUGAGUUUCAUUAUACGUCUAUGGUUGUUCCACUAGUGAAAGCCUAUAUAUCUUGCUUGGUAAGUUAUUAAUCUAUAUUGUGUUAUGUAUCGUUUUAUUAGCUAGUGACUCGUAAUGUAUUAGGAAACGACUUAAUGUAUCAUUCCAAUUUUGUAAGUAUUUAAGAUUUUAAGAUGGUAGAGAAAAACAACAGUUUGAGGAAAAAAAACAACAGUUUAAGAUUAAUUUGAAUUUCUAUCACAUGUUUUUUUUUUCUUUUGAAAUAAAUUUCCAUCACAAGUUUGCUUAUGUUAUUUAGUAUUUGUGCUUCUAUGUCAUCAUAACAUUGUGUAAUGAAACAAAACAUGAUUUAUGUACUUACAUUUUUUGAGAACAUAUUAUUUUAUGAAGUUGCAUUUAUCUGUUACUUUGCCUUUUGUUAGAUUAUCCUUGUAAUGAUAAGGGGGAGGAUCUAGAUUUCAUUUUAAUGCUAAGGAGGAGGCUCAAUUAAAUGGAAUUUAACCAGUGAUGGAAUUACCUGGGAAAAAGCCUUUUUGAGUUCUGACAACAAAGUUGGUAUCAUGCCCUCUGCCCUUGAGAUACAAUUGAGAUGGAAAUGUAAUUACAGUGUGCAUGGAAUGGAAACUGAGUUCCAAUGAGGUUAAUUUACUUACAGUGACUGGUUGAUUUAUACAGAGCUGUAGUAAACAAUAUAGGAGCAGUUAUUGACAGGCAAAAAGGACUUUUUCGAAGAGUAUUUCAUACAUUCUGAGAUUUUUUAUAAACCCUGUCUUUUGCUCCUGUACAUCAUGGGUUUGAGUAUAUUCCCCACUGACUAAUAUGAAGGAAUAAGUAGGAGUUUGUUGUCAGUGAUGAUGCAAGCUGUAUCAGAAUCUCUUAGAAAAUUAGUUCCUGACUCAUCUAUGAGGACAUGGGAAAUGAGACCCUUAAGAACAUAGAUUUAUUGAACUUGAACUGCACUUGAUUAUGGGAUAUUUUAUCUGCCUACCGAGUUUCUUUCUUGUAAUCCUGCGUAAUUUGUCUGAAUCUUUUAGUUUCUGUAUCAAUGAUCUUGCUAACUUUAUAGAGACACAGAAAAAUUAACUUCUUUCUCUUUGUUUUUAGGAAGUUCUAAGAACUUGAGUUUCUAGGGCUUUUUCUCACGCUUUCCUUUCUUCUUGUUAGUUUUAAAUUACGUUAGUAGCAUAGAGAAAUAGGCAUGUUAUCACUUUAUUGCCCUGAAGUUGCAUUUUAUUUUGUUUACCUGGGGGGUGGUAGAUUCUCAAACCUUUUUGAUAGACAUCUGUCUUAACUUGAUCAUUUGUUUCUCACAGCCUUCCUGCUGGGUUUAUUGGCAAGAGGGAUCUUGUCUCCCCACUGAUGUUCUCAAUCCAAGAUUGUGGUGCGUAUCAAAGGUGCAGAUCAAAUGCCAUCUUUAAAAAUGAAGACCAAAUUAAGCACGGGCUCUUUAAGAGAAAAAAAUGGGCUUCAUGUAUGUCAAAAGUCUAAUGCUAUUUCUAAAACUUCAUGUUCCCGUGCUGGAAAUAGUCCACAGAUUGCUGAACUGGAUAUCUGUAUCCAGAAUAGUCAUAAUGGUAAGCUGCUAUGACUAAAAAAGGCUGAUGGUGCACUUUGGUUCUUAUCAUUAAAGAAUAUUUUGUGUUUCCCUGUUCAUAGUUUUCAAAUCCAGUGCCAUUUACGUAAGCAUUGUUAAGUCCUAACAGAUGGGGUAACCACAGUGCUAAGAAUGCGUUUCAUCUUUCUUGAAAUGCUAAGAUUCUUUUUCGUCUUUCUUGAAAUGGGGGUUGUGUUUGUGAUGGAUCCUAGAUUGUCAAUCUCGCCUGGAAAGAACAUAAAAAGAAAGAACAAACUUAGUACAAGCAUAAAUAUGGUAUUUGUUUAUGCAUGGUAACUAUUGAACUUCUUAGUUUUUAAUUUUUCGUUUUACUAUCAUUGGAAAAUUUAUAAUUUUUGUGCUGUUGGCUUCCA
rnacentral:lncRNA from 1 species